GGAGUCUGGUCUCGGGUGGCUGCGAGCGGCCGCCACCUAAGCGCCUUCUGCUGGCCGGCCCGCCAGCCCGCCACGGUGUGUGUCCUUCGGCACAGGCGCAACCGGUGGAGGUGGGGGUUGGCGGGGAGCUACUGAGCGGAAGGUUGGCUGCUCCUUCCCGGGCUCUCUCUCUCUCACUCUCUCACUCUCCCCCCGUUCUGUGGUUUCCCUGGGCCAGGAAGUCCCUGUCCCUCAGACAUGAACCGCACAGCGCAUUGUGGGACAGGCGAAGAUGGAGGCUCCCCGGACCUGCUAAGUUUUUUUUUUAACAGACAGAGAGAGAUGGUCCUGACUAGUGAAGGGUAAAGCCUACGUUUGUUGGCCAUUUGACUAUGUCCUCGGAAGAUGCUGGGAGUAGGUUUCUUAAACUGCUUCAGUCCAAGCAAAGCUUGUGUUAAAUGGACAAUUCUGAUCACUGUUGCGGGGAUGGGAUUAUAUUAUGUGCCCGGGUGUGGACGGUGUGUGUGACUGUUCUCACAGCAUUGCUGAUGUGAGUGAUAUACACCAGGCCAGUAUUAUUCCCCUAGCUAACCUGAUCACGGCAUGAUUAUGAAGCAGUUGAGACAAAUUGCUGCUAUCCUACUCUGUAUCAUGGUAUUUGAAAGUGCAUCAACCACCAGCG